rnacentral:rRNA from 1 species
GACGAACGCUGGCGGCGUGCUUAACACAUGCAAGUCGAACGGAAAGGCCCUGCUUGCCGGGUACUCGAGUGGCGAACGGGUGAGUAACACGUGGGUGAUCUGCCCUGCACUUCGGGAUAAGCCUGGGAAACUGGGUCUAAUACCGGAUAGGAGCCAUUUUUAGUGUGAUGGUUGGAAAGUUUUUUCGGUGUAGGAUGAGCUCGCGGCCUAUCAGCUUGUUGGUGGGGUAAUGGCCUACCAAGGCGGCGACGGGUAGCCGGCCUGAGAGGGUGGACGGCCACAUUGGGACUGAGAUACGGCCCAGACUCCUACGGGAGGCAGCAGGGGGGAAUAUUGCACAAUGGGCGCAAGCCUGAUGCAGCGACGCCGCGUGGGGGAGGACGGCCUUCGGGUUGUAAACUCCUUUCGCUAGGGACGAAGCUUUUUGUGACGGUACCUAGAUAAGAAGCACCGGCUAACUACGUG